CCAGGCUGGAGUGUAAUGGUGCAAUCUCGGGUCACUGCAACUUCAAGCGAUUCUCCUGCCUCAGCCUCCUGAGUAGCUGGGAUUACAGGCAUGUGCCAUUAUGCCCAGCUAAUUUUUGUACUUUUAGUAGAGACGCAGUUUCACCAUGUUGGCCAGGCUGGCCUUGAACUCCUGACCUCAAGUGAUGCAUCCACCUUGGCCUCCCAAAGGGCUGAAAUUACAGGUGUGAGCCACCUCGCACGGCCAGUUCCCUAUUUUUAUCAGUGCACUUUACCAUUUAUCUACUCAAUUCCUCACCCAUAUGCAAGGCUGCCCUUUUCUGAAGGAUGCUAGUGGUGAAUCCAUUGAAAAAUCCACUGAUUGUGUUCCCCUAGGGCCUCUUCAAGAUGGAAAGAUUCAGGUGGGGCACGGUGGCUCACACCUGUAAUCUCAGCACUUUGGGAGGCCGAGGUGGGCGGAUCACCUGAGGUCAGGAGUUCAAGACCAGCCUGGCCAACAUGACAAAAUCCGUCUCUACUAAAAAUACAAAAAUUAGCCGGGGUGGUGGCUUGUGCCUGUAAUCCCAGCUACUCAGGAGGCUGAGGGAGGAGAAUCGCUUGAACUCAGGAGGCAGAGGUUGCAGUGAGCCAAGAUUGUGCCACUACACACCAUCCUGGGUGACAGAGUGAGACUCUGUCUCAAAAAAAAAAAGCCAGGUGCAGUGGCUCACGCCUGUAAUCCUAGCACUUUGGAGACCGAGGCAGGUGGAUUGCCUGAGCUCAGGAGUUUGAGACCAGCCUGGCCAACAUGGUGAAACCCCGUCUCUACUAAAAUACAAAAAAAUUAGCUGGGCGUGGCAGCAUGUACCUGUAGUCCCAGCUACUCAGGAGGCUCAGGAAGGAGAAUUGCUAGAACCUGGGAGGUGGAGGUUGCACUGAGCCAAGAUUGCACCGCUGUACUCCAGCCUGGGUGACAGAGUGAGACUCUAUCUGGAAAAAAAAAAAAAAAAAAAAAAAAGAUUCUACAGUGAGCACAAAGGUGAAACUCACCUUGAAUGCUUUUACCAAUUGAGUGUGGAUGAACUAAUUCAGAGUAUUGCGGGCCCCUGCUGCAGCAAACACAGAGCUCCCAAAAUGCUCAGGCUAUUGGGAGGCAACUGCCUUGUCAGGGUGGCCAAUGGUUUCCCCAUUGCCAAAUCGGACAGUUAACUCCAGUCCUUGUCUGACUGGAGGCCUGCAGAUCACUGCCUCCUCUGUAACGCUCUUUACCCCCAACCCAGGGAUCCAAGAUGCCCUACUCUAGGAUCAUUUUCUCUGCCUCAUUCAUCACUCAGACUCCUUCAUUUGUUCCUUCUCUUCUCCCUCCUCUGAGUGCUGCAGAGCCCGGGUUUCCAUCCUCAGACCCCUGCCCUGCCUGCUCUCUGUCCCAAGGCAGCACUGCCAGCAUCCGAAAUAAAAAUCCAGCCCUCCUAUUCAUAGUGACAUCGAAUUUCAGAUCAACGACAAAGAGUUUUAUGGCAUAAGCAUGUCCCAAAUAUUGCAUGGCCCCAAAUAUUUACUUAGUUAAUAAGUAAAAAUUGCACAAGACAUACUUAUGCUAAAGAGUAUUGACUAUUUGUCUGAGUCCAAAUGUCUCUGGGCAUGCUGGGUUUCAUCAGGUAAUCCUGCCAUGAUUUCAGUUUCAAGGUGAUACCAUCUAUGGUGACUCUUCUGAAAAUGUUUAUCUCUAGCCUAGGUCUCUCUCCUGAACUGCAGACUCCUGCUGCCUCCAGCACAUCGCCACUUGGGUAAUGAAUAGGUGUCUCAACCUGAACAUGUCAAAAACAACACUCAUUUUUCCCCCCAAUUCCUUGCCGUUCUCACAGCCUCCUCCGUCCCUCACAGUUAAAUGCAGCUGGAAGAGGGGUUGCCCUGUACCUCCAGCUAGGUGGACUCCCCAGGAAAGAGUGACAUCUCACCACUGAGCCACCUCAGCCUUUUCCAGAGACAAGCCUUCUCUAGGCCAAUCAUCAGUGUCACAGCUAUUUGUUCUUGGGAUUUGUGGCUCUAUAUUCACAUGUAAGAAGCCAAGGCACCCAUGGGGAGCCACAGGCACCAACAGAAUACACUGAAAUCAAUCUUGCUGCGACUGGGGCUACAAGCAUGGUUACUUGGCUCACCACAGGAAAUACAGUGGAAAGAAUUCUGUGGUGAGAAUCAUUAAACACUGAGUCUGGUUCAGCGCUGCUUCCUGUUACUUGUGUGACCCUGGACAGGCAAACCCAGCCUCCCUGGCUCUGAUCCCUCCUCUGUUAAAUGAGGGAUUUGGAUUGACACGAGUACUUCUCAAACUUUAGUGAAUCUUCUGGGGAUGUUGUUAAAAUGCAGUAUGUAUUCACCAGACCUGGGGUGGGGCCUGAGACUCUGCAUUUCCAACAAGUUCCUAGGUGAUACUGAUGCUGCUGGCUCAGGAUCGCACUCCAAUUAGGCCACCCUCCAAGGUGCCAUCAUGCUGUAAGCUAUAACAACUACCAAAUAAAGAAAAGCAUUAUGUCAACAAUGGAUAACAAUAAAUACUUAUUUUAGAAAAUAAAUAUAGCUUUUUCUUUUUUUGAAACAGGGUCUUACUUUGUCACCUAGGCUGGAGUGCUGUGGCAUGAACACAGCUCACUGCAGCCCCGACCUCCAGGGCUCAGGUAUCCUCCUGCCUCGGUCCCCCAAGUAGCUGGGACUACAGGUGUGCACCACCAUGGUUGGCUAAUUUUUGUGUUUUCUGUAAAGACAGGGUUUUGCCAUGUUGCCCAGGCUGGUACAAAUAUAGCUUUAGUUUUCUGUUUGUAAAAGUAAUGCAUGCUUACGAAAAUUGUUCUUAAAAAAAUCACAUAGGCCGGGCGCGGUGGCUCACGCCUGUAAUCCCAGCACUUUGGGAGGCCGAGGAGGGCGGAUCACGAGGUCAGGAGAUCGAGACUAUCCUGGCUAACACGGUGAAACCCCGUCUCUACUAAAAAUACAAAAAAUUAGCCGGGCGUGGUGGCGGGCGCCUGUAGUCCCAGCUACUGGGGAGGCUGCGGCGGGAGAAUGGCGUGAACCCAGGAGGUGGAGCUUGCAGUGAGCCGAGAUCGCGCCACUGCACUCCAGCCUGGGCGACAGCGAGACUCCGUCUCAAAAAAAAAAAAAAAAAAAAAAAAAAUCACAUACCAUGCAAUGACAGUAAAAAUCAUCCCAAGUUUCAUACCACUUGAACUAAUGUGCUCUAUUGUCACUUGGCUAUGAAGAAUACAAGUGCUAGGUUUCAGUAUUGGCAUCGUAUUACCUUGUCUUUUAAAAUCAGGUUGUGAAACUGGUAUCUUUUUCAAUUUGUUGCCAAUCAGUUAUGCGUUAAUUGAUUUGAAUUCAGUUCCUUCUGUUGUGGUAGAUUUGCUUCUGUAUCGUAUGAUUUCAAGUUGCUCAUUGCCUGAAUUCAGGACAGGGUAGUGGGUGGCUUUCUGGGGCCAUCUCAGGCGGGCUGAAUUGACCUGAAGAUGGCAAUAAGAGAAAAAAGCCAAGUAAAUAUCAAGAACAAUUUUUAGCAUAAAAUUCAGUGUUAAGAUUCAUUGAGAGCUAAUCAAUAGAAACGAAGGUUCUGUAAAUACAUCCAUCUUAUGGGAAUAACUUAGGUCAUAACCAUUGUUGGCAAAGGAGGAAAUUUUUCUUAGUUCCUCUGCACUUUCCCCAAUGAUAUUAAUGUUACACCUCUUUGAUCGUACUUGAAAUGAUUGUAAUAAUAACGAGAGCCGUAAGAGUUUGUUGGUCAUAAAAACAUACAACAUUUUAAGAACUUUAUUGGGUUUUUAUUGACAUAUAUAACUAUUAAAUAUAAGAUUAUAGACCCCAAAUAUCAAAUUAACUUUAGCAUUUACAAUUUUCCUUUGUCUCCUCUAAGCAGCCACAAUUUCCAAUGUAGCACAUAAUGAGGUCAUCAUAGUUGCAAAUCUAUAUCUUCAUAUUGUAUAACUUGAGAACAUUUUUAAACUCAGUGUAUAGGUUUGUGUGGAUGUUGUAUCAAUGUUCACAACACGAGGCAAGUGGAAAUAAAGCAAAAAUACUGUUAAUGUGUAAUAACAUUGUGCUAACAGAAUGGGCAAUUUGUAACAAUGCCAUCAGUGACUCCACUAUCUAGCACAACAGUUAAUACAUAGUGUGUAAGUUCACAUUUCAGAUAAGUGAUAGUUAUCAUUUUAAGUACCAAAACUUAGGUUUAAAGAAGUUUCUGAGAUAUGCAGAAUUCUACCUCUCACUGGGCUUUGAAAAUAUGUUACUCCUCAGGACUCACCGUGUCGUAAGCAUCACUGAUUAUUGUUUAUGUCUGUUCUAAAUUGCAGAAACAGUUUCAGAAACCUAGGUUAUUUGGUUUUUAGUCCUAAUCUUGUUACUGUAAAAGUCACACGUGUUCAUCCAUUGUAGAAAGUUCUCCAAAGUGCAAUCACAUAUAAAGAAGCAAAUAAAAAUCAUCCUCAAUCUCACUCUCCAGAAGUAAUGAUUAUUAACAGUUUCAUGAUCUUCAUCACACUGCAUUAAGUUUCCCAGAGCUGCCAUCACAAAUUAGCACAAACUGUGUGACUUAAAACAACAGAAAUUUAUUCUCUUACAGUUCACGAGGCCAGGAAUCUAAAAUUAAGGCAUCAGCAGGGUUGGGUCCUUCUGGAGGCUCUCAGAGAGUCUGUUCCAUGCGUCUCUCCUGGUUUCUGGUGUUUGCCAGCAAUCUUUGAUUCAUAGACACAUCAUUCCCAUCUCUACCUCCGCCAUCACAUGGCCUUAUUCUAUGUGUGUGUCUUUCUGCAUCCUCUCCUCUUUUUAUAAGGACACCAGGUAUUGGGUCUAUAGCCCAUCCUAAUCCAGAAUGACUUCGUCUCAGCUGAUUAACAUCUGCAAAGACUCUGUUUCUAAACAAAUUCAUAUUGUGAGGUUCUGGGUGAACAUGAAUUUGUGGGGGACACUGGGGGACACUUAUUCAACCCACUACACACACUGUAAUAUAUAUUUAUAGAAUCACGAAAACGGGACCAUAAUUUAUAUAAAGCUUAGUUCCCUUUACACUUAAGAUACCAUGAAUUUCCCUAGGUCUUUCAAACACAGAAUUUUAAUUUUUUGUAGAGUGUUUCAUCAUAUGAAGAUUACAUCAUUUCCAUAGCUAACCUGCUACUUCAAACACUCAGAUGGUUUCCAGACUUUACUAUUAUAAAUGGCUCUGAUGAAUAUACAUGUUCCCAAAUCUUUGAAUUUAUCUCUGCUUAUGUCCUUGGUAUAAAUUAUUCUGAGUCGAAUUAUUGGAUUAAGGGGUAUGAACAUUUUAAAGGCUCAUGAAAAAUCUUCUUUAAUUGAAUUCCAGAGAUUGUAUCAAUUUGCCAUCACCAGCAGAAGAGAGAACCCAUGGCAUUGCAUUCUCUGCACUGCACGUUCUAGCUUUUUGAGUGUUGGACAAGUGACUAGGCAAAGAAAUAACAUCCUUACUUUGUGACUUGUAUUUUUAUGUAAGGUUGCCUCUUUGUUUACGGACCACUUAUAUAUCUUUUUUAGGUUACCAAUUUAUGAUUUGUGUCUCCUUUUCAAUUUUUUUCUCCUCUCUCCAACUGCCAGUAUUUAUUUCUUACCAUCUCACGGAUGAGUAUACUGUCCACCUCCACCCCUUUUAGAGUCCACUGUUAGCUAAGAAACUAUGUAGAUGUAUCCUCCCUCUCCUUUUCCCAUUCUCGAACCACCUCUGAAUCUUGUACAAAUGUCAAUCAUUGCCUCCAUUGUGUCUUAACUGUUUACAUUUCGCUUUCCCUUCUAAGACUUUGAGCACUUUGGGGCCAUUUCCAUGUCUUAUCUGUGUUUUUGUAUCUUCAGCAACUAACAUGGAUGCUCAAUAAACAUACAUUGAACUGAGUUGUUACGUUGUGACCUGGAAAUAUUCACAAUUCCUUGUAUAGAUAGAAAUAGCUAAAUAAGGGCACAUAAGGAUAGACUCUAAAUGGCACUCAAUAAUGUGCAUAGGGCUGGGCGUGGUGACUCCCUGCCUGUAAUCACAGCACUUUGGGAGGUGGAGGUGGAUCACCUGAGGUCAGGAGUUAGAGACCAGCCUGGGCAACAUGGUGAAACUUCGUCUCAACCAAAAACACAAAAAAUCAGCUGGGUGUGGUAGUGUAUGUCUGUAAUCCCAGCUAUUUGGGAGGCUGCAGCACGAGAAUUGCUUGAACACAGGAGGUGGAGGUUGCAGUGAGCUGAGAUCGUAUCAUUGCACUCCAGCCUGGGCAACAGAGCAAGACUCUGUCUCAAAAAAAAAAGCAUAGGAUUUAAUCCAUGAAUUUUGAAUUUCUAUGUUAAAUUUUUAGAAAUAGUAACUUUUUCUCCCAUAUUUCUCAGCUAUAUCUGAGAUAACUGGGACUGAGCAACAUUGUCUAGACAGGCAAAGUGUUAGCAAUAAUAAGUAUAAUAAUAAUUGUAAUGUAAUAAUGGAAUGAGGAUGUUAAAGUACUGAGAUCAGGAUAAAAGUUACAAUUGUCCAAAUUUUAAAUUUCCUAUCAUUUCCACUGAAAUCACUGACUGUACUUAUAACAUUAUCAGGAAUUUAUGCAAUUUGUAGGUUUUGAAAUAAAUUACCAUUCAGAAUUCAACCGUGAAAAACAGUGUAACUCUACUUGAAAAACACUUUGAAAAACUCAAGUUUCCACCAAAUCUAGAAGCACAUGGGUCGUAAAACAUAGUUCGAAAAGUUACGAGAGAUGAUGACUACAAGGAACUUUUUAUAAAAAUCUUUUAUAAGCAUUACUCUGUGGUCAAAUUUAUUUUCACAUGGAUAUUAAAACAAGUUAUUGCUAC
rnacentral:lncRNA from 10 species